rnacentral:rRNA from 1 species
GAUGAACGCUGGCGGCGUGCUUAACACAUGCAAGUCGAACGUGAAGAAGCAGCAAUGUUUCUGAAAGUGGCGGACGGGUGAGUAACACGUGGGUGACCUGCCUCAAAGUGGGGGAUAACCAGGGGAAACCGUGGCUAAUACCGCAUGGGCUUACACCGAUGGGAAUGGUGUGGGUAAAAUUUGGUGCUUUGAGAGGGGCCUGCGUCCGAUUAGCUAGUUGGUGAGGUAAUGGCUCACCAAGGCGAUGAUCGGUAGCUGGUCUGAGAGGAUGAUCAGCCACACUGGAACUGAGACACGGUCCAGACUCCUACGGGAGGCAGCAGUAAGGAAUAUUGCUCAAUGGGAGAAAUCCUGAAGCAGCAACGCCGCGUGAGGGAUGAAGGGCUUUUGCUCGUAAACCUCUGUAGUGAGGGAAAAAUUUCCAUUCUAUGGAAUAUGAUGGUACCUCAAAAGUAAGCCCCGGCUAACUACGUGCCAGCAGCCGCGGU